UAUUGGUCAAUGGGGGAAACCCUGAACCAGCAACGCCGCGUGAGGGAAGACGGUUUUCGGAUUGUAAACUUCUGUCCUCUGUGAAGAUGAUGACGGUAGCAGAGGAGGAAGCUUCGGCUAACUAAGUGCCAGCAGCCGCGGUAAUACGUAGGGAGCGAGCGUUGUCCGGAUUUACUGGGUGUAAAGGGUGCGUAGGUGGCUUUGCAAGUCAGAAGUGAAAUCUAUGGGCUUAACCCAUAAACUGCUUUUGAAACUGCAGGGCUUGAGUGAAGUAGAGGUAGGCGGAAUUCCCGGUGUAGCGGUGAAAUGCGUAGAGAUCGGGAGGAACACCAGUGGCGAAGGCGGCCUACUGGGCUUUAACUGACGCUGAGGCACGAAAGCGUGGGUAGCAAA
rnacentral:rRNA from 1 species